GGUGGCCCAGUGGUAGAGCGCUUGCCUUGCAUGCAAGAGGCCCUGGGUUCGAUUCCUCAGCACCA
rnacentral:tRNA from 1 species